rnacentral:rRNA from 1 species
GACGAACGCUGGCGGCGUGCCUAAUACAUGCAAGUAGAACGCUGAAGGAGGAGCUUGCUUCUCUGGAUGAGUUGCGAACGGGUGAGUAACGCGUAGGUAACCUGCCUGGUAGCGGGGGAUAACUAUUGGAAACGAUAGCUAAUACCGCAUAAUAUUGACUAUUGCAUGAUAGUCAGUUGAAAGGUGCAACUGCACCACCACCAGAUGGACCUGCGUUGUAUUAGCUAGUUGGUGGGGUAACGGCUCACCAAGGCGACGAUACAUAGCCGACCUGAGAGGGUGAUCGGCCACACUGGGACUGAGACACGGCCCAGACUCCUACGGGAGGCAGCAGUAGGGAAUCUUCGGCAAUGGACGGAAGUCUGACCGAGCAACGCCGCGUGAGUGAAGAAGGUUGUCGGAUCGUAAAGCUCUGUUGUAAGAGAAGAACGAGUGUGAGAGUGGAAAGCUCACACUGUGACGGUAGCUGACCAGAAAGGGACGGCUAACUACGUG